AUUGAACGCUGGCGGCAUGCCUUACACAUGCAAGUCGAACGGCAGCGGGGGAGAAGCUUGCUUUUCCUGCCGGCGAGUGGCGAACGGGUGAGUAAUACAUCGGAACGUGCCCUGUAGUGGGGGAUAACUAGUCGAAAGAUUAGCUAAUACCGCAUACGACCUGAGGGUGAAAGUGGGGGACCGCAAGGCCUCAUGCUAUAGGAGCGGCCGAUGGCUGAUUAGCUAGUUGGGGGGGUAAAGGCCUACCAAGGCGACGAUCAGUAGCUGGGUCUGAGAGGACGAUCAGCCACACUGGGACUGAGACACGGCCAAGACUCCUACGGGAGGCAGCAGUGGGGAAUUUUGGACAAUGGGCGAAAGCCUGAUCCAGCAAUGCCGCGUGUGUGAAGAGGGCCUUCGGGUUGUAAAGCACUUUUGUCCGGAAAGAAAUGGCUCUGGUUAAUACCUGGGGUCGAUGACGGUACCGGAAGAAUAAGGACCGGCUAACUACGUGCCAGCAGCCGCCGUAA
rnacentral:rRNA from 1 species